rnacentral:rRNA from 1 species
GAUGAACGCUAGCGGCAGGCUUAAUACAUGCAAGUCGAGGGGUAGCAAGAUUGUAGCAAUACAAUUGUUGACGACCGGCAAACGGGUGCGGAACACGUACACAACCUUCCUACAAGUGGGGAAUAGCCCGGAGAAAUUUGGAUUAAUACCCCGUAACAUAGCGAUGUGGCAUCACAUUGCUAUUAUAGCUUCGGCGCUUGUUGAUGGGUGUGCGGCUGAUUAGAUAGGUGGCGGGGUAACGGCCCACCAAGUCUACGAUCAGUAGCUGAUGUGAGAGCAUCAGCAGGCACACGGGCACAGAGACGCAGGCCCGACUCCUACGGGAGGCAGCAGUAAGGAAUAUUGGACAAUGGACGCAAGUCUGCUCCAGACAUGCCGCGUGAAGGAUUAAGGUCCUCUGGAUUGUAAACUUCUUUUAUAAGGGACGAAAAAAGGUCUUUCUAGAUCGUCUGACGGUACCUUAUGAAUAAGCACCGGCUAACUCCGUGCCAGCCGCCGCGGUAACAC